rnacentral:rRNA from 1 species
AACUGCGAAUGGCUCAUUAUAUAAGUUAUCGUUUAUUUGAUAGCACCUUACUACUUGGAUAACCGUGGUAAUUCUAGAGCUAAUACAUGCUGAAAACCCCGACUUCGGAAGGGGUGUAUUUAUUAGAUUAAAAACCAAUGCCCCCUGGGCUCUCUGGUGAUUCAUGAUAACUUCUCGAAUCGCACGGCCUUGCGCCGGCGAUGGUUCAUUCAAAUUUCUUCCCUAUCAACUUUCGAUGUUUGGGUAGUGGCCAAACAUGGUUGCAACGGGUAACGGAGGGUUAGGGCUCGACCCCGGAGAAGGAGCCUGAGAAACGGCUACUACAUCCAAGGAAGGCAGCAGGCGCGCAAAUUACCCAAUCCCGACUCGGGGAGGUAGUGACAAUAAAUACUGAUACAGGGCUCUUUUGGGUCUUGUAAUUGGAAUGAGUACAAUUUAAAUCCCUUAACGAGGAACAAUUGGAGGGCAAGUCUGGUGCCAGCAGCCGCGGUAAUUCCAGCUCCAAUAGCGUAUAUUAAAGUUGUUGUGGUUAAAAAGCUCGUAGUUGAACCUUGGGCCUGGCUGGCCGGUCCGCCUCACCGCGUGCACUGGUCCGGCCGGGCCUUUCCCUCUGUGGAACCCCAUGCCCUUCACUGGGCGUGGCGGGGAAACAGGACUUUUACUUUGAAAAAAUUAGAGUGCUCCAGGCAGGCCUAUGCUCGAAUACAUUAGCAUGGAAUAAUGAAAUAGGACGUGCGGUUCUAUUUUGUUGGUUUCUAGGACCGCCGUAAUGAUUAAUAGGGACAGUCGGGGGCAUCAGUAUUCAAUUGUCAGAGGUGAAAUUCUUGGAUCAAUUGAAGACUAACUACUGCGAAAGCAUUUGCCAAGGAUGUUUUCAUUAAUCAGGAACGAAAGUUAGGGGAUCGAAGACGAUCAGAUACCGUCGUAGUCUUAACCAUAAACUAUGCCGACUAGGGAUCGGACGAUGUUAUUAUUUGACUCGUUCGG